GUAAAAUCGAUAAGCGAUCACAUUAUAAGUAUGUGCAUGCGAGACGUGCGAGAGCGAGGCAAGAAACUCAGCAGGAAGCACCAAAGAGCCGUCGAGCACCAGAUACAGAUACGACAACGACAACGUCGAGGACGAAAACGAGGACCCACAGCAAUGGAAUAACAGUAGCUGUAACUGGUUACAGUAAUGUUUUCUCAGCUCAAACAUGCCCUCUACGACGCAGCGCAGCAUAUCGUGCAUUAAAAAUCGUAGCCAUAUGUAAAGCCAAAGAUAACAAACGGAGCAGGAGGGUCGCUUGGGGAGCAGAAGUUGCCAACUGUCGCGAUUUCCACUGUUGCCAGCCUUUAACUCGUUUCCGAAACAGAACACAGCAGCCGUCCAAUGCGGCGUAUGAGUAAUGGCUGCCGCAGCAAAGAGCCAA
rnacentral:misc_RNA from 1 species